GGUUGAUCCUGCCAGUAGUCAUAUGCUUGUCUCAAAGAUUAAGCCAUGCAUGUCUAAGUAUAAACAUCUUUAUACAGUGAAACUGCGUACAGCUCAUUAUAUCAGUAAUUAUUUAUUUGAUGGUACCUUACUACAUGGAUAACCGUAGUAAUUCUAGAGCUAAUACAUGCGUAAAGUCCCGACUCUUGCGGGGAGGGAUGUAUUUAUUAGAUAAAAAAUCAAUGCAGGCUUUGCCUGGUUAUUUGGUGAUUCAUAGUAACUGUUCGAAUCGCAUGGCUUUAUGCUGGCGAUA
rnacentral:rRNA from 1 species